rnacentral:sRNA from 1 species
UCCUAGCCCCGAUGGAAACGGCAUCCUUUUUUGUUUCGUGAUGGAAAUAAGCUUAGGCAACAAAAAAGAUACAGUGGACAGCGGGAAAAAGC